UACGGAGGAUGCAAGCGUUAUCCGGAUUCAUUGGGUUUAAAGGGUGCGCAGGCGGAGAGAUAAGUCAGUGGUGAAAAACUGCCGCUCAACGGUAGUCUUGCCAUUGAUACUGUCUUUCUUGAGUAUGGAUGAGGUAGGCGGAAUGUGCAGUGUAGCGGUGAAAUGCAUAGAUAUUGCACGGAACACCAAUUUCGAAGGCAGCUUACUGGACCAUUACUGACGCUCAGGCACGAAAGCGUGGGGAUCAAA
rnacentral:rRNA from 1 species